rnacentral:rRNA from 1 species
GGGUUGUGAGGUUAAGCGACUAAGCGUACACGGUGGAUGCCCUGGCAGUCAGAGGCGAUGAAGGACGUGCUAAUCUGCGAUAAGCGUCGGUAAGGUGAUAUGAACCGUUAUAACCGGCGAUUUCCGAAUGGGGAAACCCAGUGUGAUUCGUCACACUAUCAUUAACUGAAUCCAUAGGUUAAUGAGGCGAACCGGGGGAACUGAAACAUCUAAGUACCCCGAGGAAAAGAAAUCAACCGAGAUUCCCCCAGUAGCGGCGAGCGAACGGGGAGCAGCCCAGAGCCUGAAUCAGUGUGUGUGUUAGUGGAAGCGUCUGGAAAGGCGCGCGAUACAGGGUGACAGCCCCGUACACAAAAAUGCACAUGCUGUGAGCUCGAUGAGUAGGGCGGGACACGUGGUAUCCUGUCUGAAUAUGGGGGGACCAUCCUCCAAGGCUAAAUACUCCUGACUGACCGAUAGUGAACCAGUACCGUGAGGGAAAGGCGAAAAGAACCCCGGCGAGGGGAGUGAAAAAGAACCUGAAACCGUGUACGUACAAGCAGUGGGAGCACAGAGCAAUCUGUGUGACUGCGUACCUUUUGUAUAAUGGGUCAGCGACUUAUAUUCUGUAGCAAGGUUAACCGAAUAGGGGAGCCGAAGGGAAACCGAGUCUUAACUGGGCGUUAAGUUGCAGGGUAUAGACCCGAAACCCGGUGAUCUAGCCAUGGGCAGGUUGAAGGUUGGGUAACACUAACUGGAGGACCGAACCGACUAAUGUUGAAAAAUUAGCGGAUGACUUGUGGCUGGGGGUGAAAGGCCAAUCAAACCGGGAGAUAGCUGGUUCUCCCCGAAAGCUAUUUAGGUAGCGCCUCGUGAAUUCAUCUCCGGGGGUAGAGCACUGUUUCGGCAAGGGGGUCAUCCCGACUUACCAACCCGAUGCAAACUGCGAAUACCGGAGAAUGUUAUCACGGGAGACACACGGCGGGUGCUAACGUCCGUCGUGAAGAGGGAAACAACCCAGACCGCCAGCUAAGGUCCCAAAGUCAUGGUUAAGUGGGAAACGAUGUGGGAAGGCCCAGACAGCCAGGAUGUUGGCUUAGAAGCAGCCAUCAUUUAAAGAAAGCGUAAUAGCUCACUGGUCGAGUCGGCCUGCGCGGAAGAUGUAACGGGGCUAAACCAUGCACCGAAGCUGCGGCAGCGACGCUUAUGCGUUGUUGGGUAGGGGAGCGUUCUGUAAGCCUGCGAAGGUGUGCUGUGAGGCAUGCUGGAGGUAUCAGAAGUGCGAAUGCUGACAUAAGUAACGAUAAAGCGGGUGAAAAGCCCGCUCGCCGGAAGACCAAGGGUUCCUGUCCAACGUUAAUCGGGGCAGGGUGAGUCGACCCCUAAGGCGAGGCCGAAAGGCGUAGUCGAUGGGAAACAGGUUAAUAUUCCUGUACUUGGUGUUACUGCGAAGGGGGGACGGAGAAGGCUAUGUUGGCCGGGCGACGGUUGUCCCGGUUUAAGCGUGUAGGCUGGUUUUCCAGGCAAAUCCGGAAAAUCAAGGCUGAGGCGUGAUGACGAGGCACUACGGUGCUGAAGCAACAAAUGCCCUGCUUCCAGGAAAAGCCUCUAAGCAUCAGGUAACAUCAAAUCGUACCCCAAACCGACACAGGUGGUCAGGUAGAGAAUACCAAGGCGCUUGAGAGAACUCGGGUGAAGGAACUAGGCAAAAUGGUGCCGUAACUUCGGGAGAAGGCACGCUGAUAUGUAGGUGAAGUCCCUCGCGGAUGGAGCUGAAAUCAGUCGAAGAUACCAGCUGGCUGCAACUGUUUAUUAAAAACACAGCACUGUGCAAACACGAAAGUGGACGUAUACGGUGUGACGCCUGCCCGGUGCCGGAAGGUUAAUUGAUGGGGUCAGCGCAAGCGAAGCUCUUGAUCGAAGCCCCGGUAAACGGCGGCCGUAACUAUAACGGUCCUAAGGUAGCGAAAUUCCUUGUCGGGUAAGUUCCGACCUGCACGAAUGGCGUAAUGAUGGCCAGGCUGUCUCCACCCGAGACUCAGUGAAAUUGAACUCGCUGUGAAGAUGCAGUGUACCCGCGGCAAGACGGAAAGACCCCGUGAACCUUUACUAUAGCUUGACACUGAACAUUGAGCCUUGAUGUGUAGGAUAGGUGGGAGGCUUUGAAGUGUGGACGCCAGUCUGCAUGGAGCCGACCUUGAAAUACCACCCUUUAAUGUUUGAUGUUCUAACGUUGACCCGUGAUCCGGGUUGCGGACAGUGUCUGGUGGGUAGUUUGACUGGGGCGGUCUCCUCCUAAAGAGUAACGGAGGAGCACGAAGGUUGGCUAAUCCUGGUCGGACAUCAGGAGGUUAGUGCAAUGGCAUAAGCCAGCUUGACUGCGAGCGUGACGGCGCGAGCAGGUGCGAAAGCAGGUCAUAGUGAUCCGGUGGUUCUGAAUGGAAGGGCCAUCGCUCAACGGAUAAAAGGUACUCCGGGGAUAACAGGCUGAUACCGCCCAAGAGUUCAUAUCGACGGCGGUGUUUGGCACCUCGAUGUCGGCUCAUCACAUCCUGGGGCUGAAGUAGGUCCCAAGGGUAUGGCUGUUCGCCAUUUAAAGUGGUACGCGAGCUGGGUUUAGAACGUCGUGAGACAGUUCGGUCCCUAUCUGCCGUGGGCGCUGGAGAACUGAGGGGGGCUGCUCCUAGUACGAGAGGACCGGAGUGGACGCAUCACUGGUGUUCGGGUUGUCAUGCCAAUGGCACUGCCCGGUAGCUAAAUGCGGAAGAGAUAAGUGCUGAAAGCAUCUAAGCACGAAACUUGCCCCGAGAUGAGUUCUCCCUGACUCCUUGAGAGUCCUGAAGGAACGUUGAAGACGACGACGUUGAUAGGCCGGGUGUGUAAGCGCAGCGAUGCGUUGAGCUAACCGGUACUAAUGAACCGUGAGGCUUAACCUUACAACGCCGAAGGUGUUU